rnacentral:lncRNA from 10 species
UGGACAGAAAAAAUGUGACUGAAACACCAGGAGUUUGAUGUUGGUCUUGUUGCUCACUGCACAGAAAGCCAGUCACCAAGACAAUGAAUACUGCAGGGAAGAAGGAAGGCUUCAUGCAGGAAGAGGAGAUGAAGACACAGAUACGCACAGAGGGGCAGCCCUGUGAGGACACGUGGAGAAGACGGCGCGUGCGAGCCAGGGAGACAGAAACCAACCCUGACAACCCCUGAUCUCAGACUUCCAGCCUCCAGAGCUGGGGGAAAGUACGUUUCUGCUGUUGAAGCUGCCAGUCUGUGGUGCCGGGUUACGCGCCAGUACCCACGCGCCAGCCGAGACAGCAAUAGCGAGACACUCCGGACAGGCGGAGGGCGUGCGGCCUUCCCACCGCCCACCUGAAAACACUGCCUAAAGGUGAGCCCAGUCCACGAAGCCUGCAUGAAAUGACGCGUUCAACAGCAGGAAGGACCUGGGUGGCAUAAAAAGAAAAAGAGUCAGGGAGACCAAGUCAGGAGAGGGGAGAAUGAGAGUGGAAAUGGUUUGGCUGUGUCCCCACACAAAUCUCAUCUUGAAUUGCAGCUCCCAUAAUUCCCAUGUGUUGUGGGAGGGACCCAGUGGGAGAUAAUUGAAUCGUGGGGGCGGUUUGCCCAUAGCGUUCUCAUGGUAGUGAGUAAGUCCUGAGAUCUGAUGGUUUUAAAAGCGGAAACUCCUCUCGCUUGACUCUCAUUCUGUUUUGUCUGCUGCCACGUAAGACGUGCCUUUCGCCUUUCACCAGGAUUGUGAGGCCUCCCCAGCCACGUGGAACUGUCUGUCCCUUAAACCUCUUUCUCUUCAUAAAUUACCCAGUCUUGGGUAUGUCAUUAUCAGCAGUGUGAAAACGGACUAAUACAAGACUCUUCAAAGGAC